rnacentral:rRNA from 1 species
UACGUAGGGUCCAAGCGUUGUCCGGAUUUAUUGGGCGUAAAGAGCUCGUAGGCGGUUCCGUAAGCCGGAUGUGAAAACUCGGGGCUCAACCCCGAGACGCCAUCCGAUACUGCGGUGACUUGAGUCUGGUAGGGGAACACGGAAUUCCUGGUGUAGCGGUGAAAUGCGCAGAUAUCAGGAAGAACACCAAUGGCGAAAGCAGCUCUCUGGGACGGUACUGACGCUGAGACGCGAAAGCGUGGGGAGCGAACAGG